GACGAACCGAGCGAACGUUGUUCGGAAUCACUGGGCUUAAAGGGCGCGUAGGCGGGUUCUCAAGUCCGGGGUGAAAUCCCACAGCUCAACUGUGGAACUGCCUCGGAUACUGGGGGCCUCGAGGGUGGUAGGGGUAUGCGGAACUAUCGGUGGAGCGGUGAAAUGCGUUGAUAUCGUUUGGAACGCCAAUGGUGAAAACAGCUCGCUGGGGAUGUACCGACGCUGAGACACGAAAGCCAGGGGAGCGAACGGG
rnacentral:rRNA from 1 species